rnacentral:rRNA from 1 species
UGCAGCAACGCCGCGUGAGGGAUGACGGCCUUCGGGUUGUAAACCUCUUUUAGUAGGGAAGAAGGGCUUCGGCUUGACGGUACCUGCAGAAAAAGCACCGGCUAACUACGUGCCAGCAGCCGCGGUAAUACGUAGGGUGCGAGCGUUGUCCGGAAUUAUUGGGCGUAAAGAGCUCGUAGGCGGUUUGUCACGUCUGCUGUGAAAUCCCGAGGCUCAACCUCGGGCCUGCAGUGGGUACGGGCAGACUGGAGUGCGGUAGGGGAGAAUGGAAUUCCUGGUGUAGCGGUGGAAUGCGCAGAUAUCAGGAGGAACACCGAUGGCGAAGGCAGUUCUCUGGGCCGUAACUGACGCUGAGGAGCGAAAGCGUGGGGAGCGAACAGGAUUAGAUACCCUGGUAGUCCACGCCGUAAACGUUGGGCGCUAGAUGUGGGGACCUUUCCACGGUUUCCGUGUCGUAGCUAACGCAUUAAGCGCCCCGCCUGGGGAGUACGGCCGCAAGGCUAAAACUCAAAGGAAUUGACGGGGGCCCGCACAAGCGGCGGAGCAUGCGGAUUAAUUCGAUGCAACGCGAAGAACCUUACCAAGGCUUGACAUAACCGAGAACGCCGCAGAAAUGUGGAACUCUUUGGACACU